UGAUGUGAGGGCGAUCUGGCUGCGACAUCUGUCACCCCAUUGAUCGCCAGGGUUGAUUUGGCUGAUCUGGCUGGCUAGGCGGGUGUCCCCUUCCUCCCUCACCGCUCCAUGUGCAUCCCUCCCGAAGCUGCGCGCUCGGUGGAAGAGGACGACCAUCCCAGAUAGAAGGAGUGUACCGUUCUUCGGUCAAGGGUAUACGAUAGCUGCGCUCCCCCGCUAGAACCUCCAAACAAGCUCAUGGCUAUUGUGGAUUUUGGGACAUUCCCAUCACAUAUGGAGGUAUGUGCUUGUGGAGGUGCAUCCUUU